rnacentral:rRNA from 1 species
UACAGAGGUCUCAAGCGUUGUUCGGAUUCAUUGGGCGUAAAGGGUGCGUAGGCGGCGCGGUAAGUCGGGUGUGAAAUCUCGGGGCUCAACUCCGAAACUGCAUUCGAUACUGCCGUGCUUGAGGACUGGAAAGGAGACUGGAAUUUACGGUGUAGCGGUGAAAUGCGUAGAUAUCGUAAGGAAGACCAGUGGCGAAGGCGGGUCUCUGGACAGUUCCUGACACUGAGGCACGAAGGCCAGGGGAGCAAACGGG